rnacentral:misc_RNA from 1 species
GGGUCCACCACAUCCUUUUCGCCCUCUCCGUUGUUGAUCGUCCCUAUCGCGCGUUUGCCCCUUGCUCCGGUGCUUUUCAUCUUUUCGAGAGGGGGAUACCUGUGCCAGGCGCUACGUGCUAGGCUAACAGCCGGUCACUUCCCUCUGGCGCCACGCCUUCCCGCAUUUUUUUUCGUCUCUUUAUCUAUCUGUUGCAUGGUGCCGUUUAUCGUUGCCUCUGUGCUCUCCCUCUGUAUGCCUUCCCAUUCGUACAAAUUUGUACACAUACGCAUGCAUUCAGCGCCUUCUCCUGUCCCGCAGCCCCCCCCCCAUCCUCCUCCUCCUGCCCCACGCUUCUGUGGUGCCUCUUCGUCUUUGCUUUCCCUCCCUGAAUACUGAAAGAAGAAAGAAGGGAAGCAGAGAAACAACACUAACAAACAACAACAUACACACGCAACGUAAUAAUCUCGGAAACAAGCCCUAGCUUUCCUCGUCAUCAUCACCAAACUGGUCUUUCCCUGCUUGGUUAUCCUGCCUCGCUUGAUUUUUUUUUUCUGCUCUCUUCCUCCUCGCGUGAGUGUGCGUGUCUUGGUUUCGCUUCUACCCUCUGAAGACUAGUUGCUGAUCUUGCGUGUUUGGCUCCUGGUGACUGUGUUGGCGGUGGUGGUGCGCACAGCACGUCGUGCGCUUGAAGGUGUAUUUACGGUGUUGCAUGAGUGAGUGUCUGUUUGUCCUCGUCCCUUCUCUUUCUUUCCCUUCCGCACACACGUACACGCCUCCGCUUCGCCCGCUCCAUCCUUUCCCACCAAGCGUGAAUCAUAUAUAUAUAUAUAUAUAUAUAUAUCAUUUAUUGCAGGCGUGUACGAGACGCCUCAACAAUCAACCUGGUGUUCUGCCGGCUACUCGGAUUGAACCUCUUUUCCUUUCUUCCCCCUUCCCCUUCAUUUUUCAAUAGCCCGUCUCUCCCUCCCUCUCUCCUUCACCUCUAUACCUCUUGCUGUGGUGGGUGUGGGCGUGUGUACAGUUGAAGCGUUUCCCUCGCUUGCUUGCUUGUUUCGUUCCGCUUUCUUCUUCUCGGUCUUGCACUCUUGUGAAGGGAGCGUGUCUUUGGGUGGCCUCUCCCUCCCACCCAGCCUCCCUCUCCUUCUUUGUUUGUAUUAUUUCCUUCCUUCUGUCGUGGUAGCGGUGUUCGCGUUUUUUUUUCUUUCUUUGAAUACCUCGGAAACGAAAAGUGAAGAACAGAAAAAAAAAACGAAACAGGCGAGGAGGGGCAGCGUGACAAAAGUGCGUAGGGUGUGCUUCUAGAGACUUGUAGAUUUCGCCCCCUCCUUUUGUGGGCGUUAUUUGUGCGUGUGUGCUUUCUAGUCUCUCUCGCGCUCUUUCCAUUUUGGCCGCUUCCGCCUCAUCCCUGUUUUUUUUUUGUUUUGCUUUGUUGUUCUACUCCUCAGCAACGGCUUAGUGGACGGUGCUCGUAAAACAUCGGGGCAGUGUGCGCGCCCGGGUGUUUGUGUCCUUGACGUUCCCUGAGUGGUGUACUCACGAGCUCACCUGGGUCUAACUUGCCCCCUCUCCCUUGUGUUGCCUCUCACAUCGCUCACGCGCGCGCAUGAGUAAUGGCGCACGCGUACACAGACCCAACAUCCAUCAACUACAUCCUGCAACGUGCACACGAUGAGCUGCGGCGUGGCGAGAGUCAGCACUACCGCUCCACCGAGGCUCAGUACACCAAUCAUGUAAAAGAACUGCUGGGCAACUUGGAGCGCUACCUCGAAACGUGUGGCGUGCGGCUCCCCACUCAAAUGCAGGAGGGAGCAGAGAUUACUGCUACCGCAGCGGCAGCUGGUGAGAAGGAAAGUGGGCGAAUGCCGUUUUCGGCACCACCACGCGGUCGUUUGGUGGAAACUCAGCGCGUAAGACAAGGCCGCCGCCUCGGCAGCGGGUCUGCGUCCGCGUCCGUGACGGUCGGCAGUGCAAAGUGCGACAGCGACGCCGUGAACCGGCACGAGGAGGCAAGCAACAGUCUCAGUGCUUCCUCAAGUGGGCCAGUCCGCGGCGGGUGGGGAAAGCUGGCAACCUCAUGCGAAGCGCAGCGCGGCAGCGGCGCGGCGAACGCGUGCCAUGUCGCGAGCAGUUGCCCCGUAGCGGCGGCGACGUCGGCUCGUCACGGUAUUUAUAUGAAGAGCAAUCAGGUAAAUACGAUGUCUGGCUCUUCCUCUUCGCCGCUCGGGGCCGCCUACCAGCAGAACAUCGCGCCAGACAAUAGGAGCGUGCGCACGGCCAGCAGCGAAAGUGAGGCGAGCAUCCUAUACAAAUCACAGCAAGCGACCACGGCGCAUGCUGCGUACUCGUCCUCUUCGCCAUCCAUGGCCGUCGACGUUGGGGCUGACGGCAACGCGGAAGGCAACACCGCCUCUCUUCUGUGCAGCGGCGAUGCCGCUGGCAUGGACAGCUGCAGUGUGGACAGUGGCAGUGCCCCCAUCGUGGCCAUCAUCGACUCUGGGUGCGGGGGCGGUGAUGACCCGAGGAGCAGGGGGCACGGCGAGAGCGUGACAAUGAGGUCGCCCCCUGCACCGCCGAAGCUGCCGGACCACUACGCAGAGGAGGCCGCGCGCGGCGGCCUCUACGCGUCAGGCCACGGCUUCAGCCGCAGCGCCAGCACCCACCUUACGAUGUCGAACGCGAUUGCCUCUGCAUCCUGUGUUUCCGAUGCGGGUGCGGGUGCCGCUUGCACCGCUGCCGCUCAUGACCGCUGGGGUGAGUUCGGUGCCUUCGUACAGUCAAUCACGGAGAGCCGCCAGAACAGCAAUCUGGCGUCUCUCCGGAGCGCAGCCGCUGCGAGAUGUCCGCUGCCGGACGGCGUCAACGGCGCUCCGGUUGCCCCUCUCCCUGCCGCGAUGCGAAAUGCGGAAAACGGCAGCAGUGGAGCAGUGUCGGCCCCGCUUGCCGUGGUAGCGCCGCCACCUGGUGCCGACCCCAUGGUUGGCUUGCAGCUCCCUUACUUGCCCAGCACCGCCACCUCCAUGACGACCCCUCCCGCGCCUGUCUCGUCUGCCGCUGCAGACGGGCAAGCGCAGCCGUCGCCGCUGCACUCGAUUGGCGCCAAAAUCAGCACCUCUUCUCUGACACUACAGGUGGCGCACGGAGCCGGCAGCAGCGCGGUGCGUGCGUUGGCCGCCGCAGGCGUCGCAGUGGAAGCGGGUGGCAACAGCGAGAUGACAGACGCGGAGGUUGAUAAGUCACUGUCACCUUCGUUUGGUAUCUUGAACUCCACUCUUCCAAUCGCCCCAGUGCCACGACAGCGCUGCGUGGAAGAAGCGGGCGUCGAAGUGCCGCAGCUCGAGUACAUUCCCUCUCCGCCGCUGCACUCAGGACCUGGUCGGCCAGCCUAUUUUACAGCUGUAGUGGCCCCCAUGCAGCGCGUGACGUCUGCGCCGCUUGCCAGUCAUCGCCUCUGUGGCGGUGGCAGUGACGGCAUGAAUUUGAUUGCGCACCACCAACAAGCACAGCGCGGCUCAGUUCCGCCGCACCCCGGAACGUCAGCCGGCGCGGUCGCAGCGACCGCGCCGACGAGGAAUCCGGCGAAGGCGCAGCUGAUGUGCCGCUUAAGAGAGGUGCUGAAACGCUCCGUCUUUGGGAAAUCAUCGGUCCAGUCCUCUGCAGUGCCAUCCGCGGUUGCUGCGGGAAGGCGGUCAUCCUUGUCCGAUGACGCUGCGUGCGGCGUAGGAGAGUAUCAAGAGAAACACUCUGUAGCCGGCAGCACCAGGGUGCCCGUGUCAGCACUUGUGCCUUCGCCCCAGUCUCUGCGGCAGAACCAGCAGAUGCUAGGCUAUCCUACUCCGUUGCCGAGCGCAACAAAGACAGACGACGCCCCUGGCGGGUCAGCAAACGCGCAGCGUAGUGACAUCCCGUCUGAGCUCAAGAACAGCGACAAUCGUGGGGAUGGGACUGGCGGUGUGGCAUGGGACGACUCGUGGGAUUUCCUUCGGCUCGCCACCGCCGCGAUCUCAGAGUUCCCGCAGACCACGUCAAGCAAAGACCUCCUCAGCGAAGCAGCCACUUCUCACAGCGUGUCGCGCGGGACUGUACGUCCCAAAGACGCCGGCGGCGAUGAGGACAGCGGCAGCAUGGGCCCUCCCGGGUGUGAUCACGCGCCGAAGGAGGGGUGCCGCGCUCACCGAUGUGUCGGCAGCAGCAACAAAGCCGCUACCAUGGCCGCAGCAAGGCCAUCUGGUGGCCUCAGGGCCUGUCGCAGGUGGGACACGAGUAGCUACGCGACGGCGAACAACACCUCCUUCCGUGCAUGCGCGGAAGAAAUGAUAGCGGCAUCGUUCGUCGCCAAUGCCCAGAAUUACCGGCCUUCAUUGCCCGCUCCCAUGUCGUGGAUGCGACCCGCACGCAGCCCGCCAGGCAUCGCGUUGCAGGGCACCUCGGCUUCCGAUGGAUACCGGCCAGGACUCACGAAAAGCGGCAUGGACAACUUCAGCCGAGCUGAGGAGGUACUGCGAGCGCGCCAGAGGCAGUCCUUCUCGGCCAACUUCUCCCCAGCACACGCGGAGAAGCAGCAGCUGAUGCAGCGGCUGCGCAUGGUGCUCAGUCUUCAUGGCGAGUAAGCUCUGACGAAGAGGUGAACGCCCGUGCAGCAGCUGAAGAGGCCAGCCGCGGCCACCACCAUCCCACACGCAUCUCUUACACUGCAAUGCACCCACACAGACACAGGCGGAACCACGUACGUGCGUGCGCGGAAAGGUCUUUCUUUUUCUUUACAUCCUCUCUCUCUGUCUUUCCUUUUUCUUUUUCUCUUGUCUAGUUCCGCCAUAUCGCUGUUGCGAACAGCGCCUGUUUAGCGGCGUGUGGUAGGAGGGGAGGGGAGUCCGUGUGUGUGUGUGUGUGUGUGUGUGUGUGUGUGUGUGUACACCGCAGUUGUGCGAGUUCAGAGCGUGCCACUGAAGUUGUAAGUGAAUUCUGAAUGAGUAUCGGAC